AUUGAACGCUGGCGGCAGGCCUAACACAUGCAAGUCGAACGAGUUGCGGACGGGUGAGUAAUGUCUGGGAAACUGCCUGAUGGAGGGGGAUAACUACUGGAAACGGUAGCUAAUACCUCAUACCAUCGGGUUUUCCCAGAUGGGAUUAGCUAGUAUGUGGGGUAAAGGCUCACCUAGGCGACGAUCCCUCGCUGGUCUGAGAGGAUGACCAGCCAAACUGGAACUGAGACACGGUCCAGAGUCCGACGGGAGGCAGCAGUGGAGAAUAUUGGACAAUGGGCGCAAGCCUGAUGCAGCCAUGCCGCGUGUAUGAAGAAGGCCUUCGGGUUGUAAAGUACUUUCAGCGGGGAGGCGUUACCCGCAGAAGAAGCACCGGCUAACUCCGUGCCAGCAGCCGCGGUAAUAC
rnacentral:rRNA from 1 species